AGUAACCGUGUAAUAAACGUUCAGAGUGAAUCUGACCAUUACAUGCCUGAUGGAAUAUGCCCCAGAAAAUCCUACGCAGUGCAAAAAAAAUUUCAAACCAAAGUAACAUAGCAUGAUUCAUCCCGGCCUGGGUUCCUGUUAUGCACGGCACAGAUUGAAAUUCCAUAUCCCCACCUCAAACUGGGGUUUAUGCACAGCUUUUUCUGCCUGCAGUAAUUGCAAAUCUUGGAGCUGGAAUGAGUGGAAAUACUGAGAACUCCUAAAAGACCCUCAUGGGGGCACAUUUACCCAGGAAGAAGAAGGCUUGGUGGAGGAACGAUGCAGCAAAUUAGAUGCCUGGUCCCCAGCACACUCCUUCAGCAGCUGUGGCACUUAGAGGGUACUAGAUGGAGACAGGAUUCGUGUUGAGCUGUAAUUCACCUGCACAGGCUGCUGGCAGGAGGAACCACGAGGGAACUGACUCGGUAUGCAACAGCCAAAUUCACAUUGACAUCACAGAGGGGAACAAUGGAUGUCCAGCAUCAAAAUGAGAGCUGCUUUCUGCCUUACUCCAGUGCUUUCUGCUGGUGCUACCCCUGCCCCUGUGCUGAUGGCCGGGCCUGGACUGUAAGAGGCACAGGGGUGUCAGAGCUGAUGGGGGGAAUGCUGAGAGUUUCCUGCAUGUGACUGUUUUGGAGGUGAUUUCCUGACAUGAGGCAUGGUGUGCAGGAUAGAAGAACCAGGGGCACUUUCCUGGAAAGACUAGCAAAUUUUCCUGGCUUCACACACAAAACUGGUUUGUCUGCCAGCUAACUCCCAUCCAGAAUUGCUGGACCAGAGCUGGAGGCAGACUUUCCAUGAUCUUUGGUGGCACAAGUUGUCCCCAUAUUUCCCAUCCCCUGGUUGCAGCUACUGCUGUGGACCUGCAGCUCCUCUUCCUGGGUGGUAAGGACUGCCAAAAGGGCUUGGACACCAUCACUGCUGCCACUGCACGUGCUGGUGUCCCCCAUGGGAUGGAGGUCACCAGGAGAAGAGACCUAAUGACAGCUCUGCCCUGCAUCCCAAGCUGCUCUUCUGCACAGAUCUAUCCCAUGCCAGUCCCUGUUCCACCUACCUUGUGACCAAAAGCUAACACAGGACUGCAUUUUACCUUU